UGGCGAACGGGUGAGUAACACGUGGGUGAUCUGCCCUGCACUUCGGGAUAAGCUUGGGAAACUGGGUCUAAUACCGGAUAGGAGCCAUCUUUAGUGUGGUGGUUGGAAAGUUUUUUCGGUGUAGGAUGAGCUCGCGGCCUAUCAGCUUGUUGGUGGGGCAAUGGCCUACCAAGGCGGCGACGGGUAGCCGGCCUGAGAGGGUGUACGGCCACAUUGGGACUGAGAUACGGCCCAG
rnacentral:rRNA from 1 species